AUUGAACGCUGGCAGCGUGCCUAACGCAUGCAAGUCGAGCGGCAGCGGAAAGUAGCUUGCUACUUUGCCGGCGAGCGGCGGACGGGUGAGUAAUGUCUGGGAAACUGCCUGAUGGCGGGGGAUAACUACUGGAAACGGUAGCUAAUACCGCAUAACGUCGCAAGACCAACGAGGGGGACCUUCGGGCCUCUUGCCAUCAGAUGUGCCCAGAUGGGAUUAGCUAGUAGGUGGGGUAACGGCGCACCUAGGCGACGAUCCCUAGCUGGUCUGAGAGGAUGACCAGCCACACUGGAACUGAGACACGGUCCAGACUCCUACGGGAGGCAGCAGUGGGGAAUAUUGCACAAUGGGCGCAAGCCUGAUGCAGCCAUGCCGCGUGUAUGAAGAAGGCCUUCGGGUUGUAAAGUACUUUCAGCGGGGAGGAAGGCGUUGAGGUUAAUAACCUCAGCGAUUGACGUUACCCGCAGAAGAAGCACCGGCUAACUCCGUGCCAGCCGCCGCCGUAA
rnacentral:rRNA from 1 species